CUAAUACCGCAUAUUCUGUGAGCAGGAAAGCAGGGGAUCGCAAGACCUUGCGCUCUUUGAGCGGCCGAUGUCAGAUUAGCUAGUUGGUGAGGUAACGGCUUACCAAGGCGACGAUCUGUAGCGGGUCUGAGAGGAUGAUCCGCCACACUGGAACUGAGACACGGUCCAGACUCCUACGGGAGGCAGCAGUGGGGAAUUUUGGACAAUGGGGGCAACCCUGAUCCAGCCAUGCCGCGUGAGUGAAGAAGGUCCUUCGGGUUGUAAAGCUCUUUCGGCCGGGAAGAAAUCGCAUGGGUUAAUACCCUGUGUGGAUGACGGUACCGGCAUAAGAAGCACCGGCUAACUACGUG
rnacentral:rRNA from 1 species